GUCUCUGUGGGCUGCCCGUGCUGACUCAGAAUCCCUUGGCCUCGGCCUCCCUGGGAGCCUCCAUCAAGCUCACCUGCACUCUCAGCAGUGAGCACAGCAGCUACUACAUUGAGUGGUAUCAGCAGAGGCCAGGGAGAAGCCCUCAGUAUGUAAUGCAUCUGAAGAGUGAUGGCAGCUCCAGCAAGGGAGACGGGAUCUCUGAUCGGUUCUCAGGCUCCAGCGCUGGUGCUGACCGCUACUUAACUAUCAGCAACCUUCACUCGGAUGAUGAGGCUCAGUAUUACUGUGGAGUGAGCCACUCAAUUGGUAGCGAGUUUGGGUAA